AGAGGCUGCGCUGCUCUGGGAAAAGUCAAACCAGUUCUGCACCAUGAGGAAGAAGCAGCCGAGGGCAGCAGCCGCUGCUCCGAACUGUGAGCUAAAAUCCUAUUCUAAGAGCACAGACCCUCAGGUAUCUACCAUGGUGUUGGAUCCUGAAGAAAAGAUGCCAGACGAUGGCGCUUCUGGGGACCAUGGAGACUCUGCCAGCCUUGGCGCCAUCAACCCUGCCUACAGCAACUCCUCCCUCCCACAUUCCACUGGCGACUCUGAGGAGCCCUUCACCACCUACUUUGACGAGAAAAUCCCCAUUCCUGACGAGGAGUACUCUUGUUUUAGCUUUCGAAAACUCUGGGCGUUCACAGGACCUGGCUUUCUUAUGAGCAUUGCCUACCUGGAUCCAGGAAACAUCGAGUCAGAUUUGCAGUCUGGAGCAGUGGCUGGGUUUAAGCUUCUCUGGGUGCUCCUCUUGGCCACCAUCGUGGGGCUGCUGCUCCAGCGCCUUGCAGCAAGACUUGGAGUGGUCACCGGCUUGCAUCUUGCUGAAGUGUGUCACCGUCAGUAUCCCAAGGUCCCACGGAUCAUCCUGUGGCUGAUGGUGGAGUUGGCAAUCAUUGGUUCUGAUAUGCAGGAAGUCAUUGGCUCAGCUAUCGCCAUCAAUCUCCUAUCGGCAGGAAGGGUUCCCCUGUGGGGUGGAGUCCUCAUCACCAUCGCAGAUACUUUUGUAUUUCUCUUUCUGGACAAAUAUGGCUUGCGGAAGCUGGAAGCAUUUUUUGGCUUUCUCAUCACUAUCAUGGCCCUCACCUUUGGAUAUGAGUACAUUACAGUGAAGCCCAGCCAGAGCCAAGUACUCAGGGGCAUGUUCGUGCCGUCCUGUCCAGGCUGCCGCACCCCCCAGGUGGAGCAGGCCGUGGGUAUCGUGGGAGCCGUGAUCAUGCCACACAACAUGUACCUGCAUUCUGCCUUAGUCAAGUCUAGACAGGUGAACCGGGCCAAUAAGCAGGAAGUGCGGGAGGCCAAUAAGUACUUCUUCAUCGAGUCCUGCAUUGCGCUCUUUGUUUCCUUCAUCAUCAACGUCUUUGUUGUCUCCGUCUUUGCCGAAGCAUUUUUUGAGAAAACCAAUGAGCAGGUGGUUGAAGUCUGCAAAAAUAACAGCAGCCCCCAUGCUGACCUCUUUCCUGAUGACAACUCUACUCUGGCUGUGGACAUCUACAAAGGGGGUGUUGUGCUUGGAUGUUACUUCGGGCCUGCAGCUCUCUACAUCUGGGCAGUGGGGAUCCUGGCUGCCGGUCAGAGCUCCACCAUGACUGGAACCUAUUCUGGCCAGUUUGUUAUGGAGGGAUUCCUGAACCUAAGAUGGUCGCGCUUUGCCCGAGUGAUCCUGACCCGGUCUAUCGCCAUCAUCCCCACCCUGCUUGUUGCUGUCUUCCAAGAUGUGGAGCACCUAACAGGGAUGAAUGAUUUCCUGAAUGUUCUGCAGAGCUUACAGCUUCCCUUUGCUCUCAUACCCAUCCUCACGUUCACAAGCCUGCGGCCAGUGAUGAGUGAGUUUUCCAAUGGAAUAGGCUGGAGGAUCGCGGGUGGCAUCUUGGUCCUAAUCGUCUGCUCCAUCAACAUGUAUUUUGUGGUGGUUUACGUCCAGGAGCUGGGGCACGUGGCACUGUAUGUGGUGGCUGCAGUGGUUAGCGUGGCUUAUUUGACCUUUGUGUUCUACUUGGGUUGGCAGUGUUUGAUUGCAUUGGGCCUGUCUUUCCUGGACUGUGGACGCUCGUACCGCCUCGGACUGACCGCUCAGCCUGAACUCUACCUUCUGAACACCGUGGAUGCCGACUCACUGGUGUCUAGAUGACGAACACCCCAGGAGACUUCAGGAACACUCUCUAAGCCCUUUUGUGCCAAGUGUCUGUUAGCAAAUCCCUUAGUUCAGAGUCUCUCUCUGAACAUGGAACUAGCCAGCCGGUAUGUUCAAGGACCCUCCUGGCCUUGUGCCCCGACACUGGGGUCACCGAUCUGCUGCUACACCAGAUUUUACACAGUGCUGGGGACCCAAGCUCAGGUCUUCCUGGACAGCAGGUGGCCUCUGGCUCUCUUGCCACGUGUGGUCUCUAACUCCUGGACUCCCAGCAUCCUUCAUCACUCUCUGACAGCUGGAGCUGCAGGUGGGAGCUACCACAUCUGGCUGGUGUUUUCAUUUUCAAGAAACAGUAUUCUCUUCCCAUAUCCCUAAGGAUCUCCUUACACACUGGGCAAUGAGAUCUAUAAUUCAAAGGGCUAAUCAGGGUCUCACGUAGUCCAGGCCAGCCUUGAACUUACUUGCAGCUGAAGAUAACCAUGAACAUCUGAUGGGCCUGUCUACAUAGGGAGUGCUAGCCUCACAGGUGUGUGUCACGAUGCCUGGGUUUUCUGCCAUGUUAGGGUUGAAACCAAGGGCUUCCUACAUUCUGGGCUUUAUUCCUGGUCAUGGAGACAUUUGAAUGGGGAUUUCUGUCAGUAUACUGUGAGGUUAGCAGUUUGAGUCUAGAGUGACAACCCUGUUUCCCUUUAAGCCUCAACAUACAAUAAGAUAACAGCACCUGUCUAUCAUAGAGACUAGAUCUGAGUGGUAUUGUAUCAGCAGGAUUGAUCUGGUUCUUGCCCAGGAAUGGCAAAGAGCUUGUCAACAACUUGUAAUUGCAGGAGAAAUAACAGCAUCUGUUACUGAUGGCCCUCAUGGGUCACACCUCAUGGGUCACACCUGAACAGAGGCUAAUGCCAGUGAGAAUCCACCUGGCAUCAGAGGCUGGGAGCAGCUCCGUGGGGGACCACACCCUUAAACUCAGGGAACCUGAGACAUCAGCUCCAGGUGCUGGGGUCAGCCGUGGAUUGUAUCCCCACACAGCAGGUGGAGUCUGAGCAAGUUCUUAAUAAGCUUAGACCAUUAAUGACAACAGAUGAAUGGGGAAGGAAAAUGUGGUAUAUUUACACGGUGGGGUGGGGGUUGGUGUUUUCUCAGCCAAAAGAAUGAAGUUCUGAGCCGGGCGGUGGUGGCGCACGCCUUUAAUCCCAGCACUUGGGAGGCAGAGGCAGGCGGAUUUCUGAGUUCGAGGCCAGCCUGGUCUACAGAGU